rnacentral:rRNA from 1 species
CAUGCAGUCGAGCGCGCCUUCGGGUGAGCGGCGGACGGGUUAGUAACGCGUGGGAACGUGCCCUUCUCUACGGAAUAGCCUCUGGAAACGGAGAGUAAUACCGUAUACGCCCUUUGGGGGAAAGAUUUAUCGGAGAAGGAUCGGCCCGCGUUAGAUUAGGUAGUUGGUGGGGUAACGGCCUACCAAGCCUACGAUCUAUAGCUGGUUUUAGAGGAUGAUCAGCAACACUGGGACUGAGACACGGCCCAGACUCCUACGGGAGGCAGCAGUGGGGAAUCUUAGACAAUGGGGGCAACCCUGAUCUAGCCAUGCCGCGUGAGUGAUGAAGGCCUUAGGGUCGUAAAGCUCUUUCGCCUGUGAUGAUAAUGACAGUAGCAGGUAAAGAAACCCCGGCUAACUCCGUGCCAGCAGCCGCGGUAAU